rnacentral:rRNA from 1 species
AGUGAACGCUGGCGGUAGGCCUAACACAUGCAAGUCGAACGGCAGCACAGUAAGAGCUUGCUCUUACGGGUGGCGAGUGGCGGACGGGUGAGGAAUACAUCGGAAUCUACUUUUUCGUGGGGGAUAACGUAGGGAAACUUACGCUAAUACCGCAUACGACCUACGGGUGAAAGCAGGGGAUCUUCGGACCUUGCGCGAUUGAAUGAGCCGAUGUCGGAUUAGCUAGUUGGCGGGGUAAAGGCCCACCAAGGCGACGAUCCGUAGCUGGUCUGAGAGGAUGAUCAGCCACACUGGAACUGAGACACGGUCCAGACUCCUAAGGGAGGGACCAGUGGGGAAUAUUGGACAAUGGGCGCAAGCAUGAUCCAGCCAUACCGCGUGGGUGAAGAAGGCCUUCGGGGUGUAAAGACCUUUUGUUGGGAAAGAAAAGCAGCAGGUUAAUACCCCGCUGUUCUGACGGUACCCAAAGAAUAAGCACCGGCUAACUUCGUG